CCUACGGGAGGCAGCAGUGGGGAAUAUUGCACAAUGGGGGAAACCCUGAUGCAGCGACGCCGCGUGAGUGAAGAAGUCUUUCGGUAUGUAAAGCUCUAUCAGUAGGGAAGAAAAUGACGGUACCUGAUUAAGAAGCCCCGGCUAACUACGUGCCAGCAGCCGCGGUAAUACGCAGGGGGCAAGCGUUAUCCGGAUUUACUGGGGGUAAAGGGAGCGUAGACGGCAGCACAAGUCUGGAGUGAAAGGCCGGGGCUUAACCCCGGAACUGCUUUGGAAACUGUGCAGCUAGAGUGCAGUAGAGGUAGGUGGAAUUCCGAGUGUAGCGGUGAAAUGCGUAGAGAUUAGGAGGAACACCGAUGGCGAAGGCAGCUUACUGGACUGUAACUGACGUUGAGGCUCGAAAGCGUGGGGAGCAAACAGGAUUAGAUACCCUUGUAGUC
rnacentral:rRNA from 1 species